CAGUAGCCGCGGUAAUACGAAGGGGGCUAGCGUUGCUCGGAAUGACUGGGCGUAAAGGGCGCGUAGGCGGCGAUCAAAGUCAGGCGUGAAAUUCCUGGGCUCAACCUGGGGGCUGCGCUUGAUACUUGGUUGCUUGAGUGGGGAAGAGGGUCGUGGAAUUCCCAGUGUAGAGGUGAAAUUCGUAGAUAUUGGGAAGAACACCGGUGGCGAAGGCGGCGACCUGGUCCUUGACUGACGCUGAGGCGCGAAAGCGUGGGGAGCAAACAGGAUUAGAUACCCGCGUAGUCCCUGUCUCUUAUAC
rnacentral:rRNA from 1 species